GAUGAAGAACGUAGCGAAAUGCGAUACUUGGUGUGAAUUGCAGAAUCCCGUGAACCAUCGAGUCUUUGAACGCAAGUUGCGCCCGAAGCCAUUAGGCCGAGGGCACGCCUGCUUGGGCGUCACACGACGUUGCCCCCCCAUCUACUCCUUCGGGAUUGCGGGGGGCGGAUGAUGGCUUCCCGUGCGCCUCGUCGCGCGGUUGGCAUAAAUGCCAAGUCCUCGGCGACGCACGCCACGACAAUCGGUGGUUGCGAAACCUCGGUUGCCCGUCGUGUGCGGUCGUCGCGCAUCGAGGGCUCGAAAAAAUUGCCGGGCUCCGGCUCGGCUUUCAACGCGACCCCAGGUCAGGCGGGGUUACCCGCUGAAUUUAAGCAUAUCAAUAAGCGGAGGA
rnacentral:misc_RNA from 1 species